AGUCGCCUCGACGUCGAAUUUGUUACAUGCGCUCUGCGAUAAGCAGAGUUUGUGGAAAGAUAUCUGUGAUUCGACUUGGAAGUCGGUGCAACAUCCGCUUGUGCAGGAAGCUAUCUCUAACUUUCCUGGCGGGUACCGUUCUUUUUACUCGGAUUCGUUCCCGGUUCUAGGUGCAAAUUCUAGACAGGGGAAAAACCACGGUCUGGUUGAGAACCAGACCGUGGAAAUAAUUUCUGCUGUUGAUAUACACUACGGGAAAAAUCCCGUUUUUUCCAGGGUAGCUGUCACGAAUACGGAUGCUAGCAGCUUCCCUGGAUCAUUGUUCAGUGUCGACUUGAU
rnacentral:lncRNA from 1 species